rnacentral:rRNA from 1 species
UCUAAGGUACCGAAAUUCAUUGACUACUAAUUAUAGUCCUGCAUGAAUGACGUAAUGAUACAUAAACUGUCUCCAAUAAUGACUCAGUGAAAUUGAAAUCGCAGUGAAGAUGCUGUGUAUCUAUAGUUUGACAAGAAGACCCUAUGCAGCUUUACUGUAAUCAGAUA